rnacentral:rRNA from 1 species
AUUGAACGCUGGCGGCAUGCCUAACACAUGCAAGUCGAACGGCAGCAUGACGUGUAGCAAUACACGUUGAUGGCGAGUGGCGGACGGGUGAGUAAUACGUGGGAACCUUCCCAAUAGUGGGGGAUAGCUCGGCGAAAGCCGGAUUAAUACCGCAUAAGCCCUAUGGGGGAAAGCGGGGGAUCGAAAGACCUCGCGCUGAUGGAUGGGCCCACGUCCGAUUAGCUAGUUGGUAGGGUAACGGCCUACCAAGGCGACGAUCGGUAGCUGGUCUGAGAGGACGAUCAGCCACACUGGGACUGAGACACGGCCCAGACUCCUACGGGAGGCAGCAGUGGGGAAUAUUGGACAAUGGGGGAAACCCUGAUCCAGCAAUGCCGCGUGUGUGAAGAAGGCCUGCGGGUUGUAAAGCACUUUCAGUUGGAAGAAAAGUCCAGGGCUAAUAUCCCUGGAUCUUGACGUUACCGACAGAAGAAGCACCGGCUAACUCCGUGCCAGCACG